rnacentral:rRNA from 1 species
GACGAACGCUGGCGGCGUGCUUAACACAUGCAAGUCGAACGAGGUAGCAAUACCUAGUGGCAGACGGGUGAGUAACGCGUGGUCAACCUACCGUUGAGUGGGGGAUAACUAGCCGAAAGGUUAGCUAAUACCGCAUACGUCUCCGAGGGGCAUCCCUUGGCGAUAAAAGGAGCAAUCCGCUCGAUGACGGGACCGCGUCCCAUUAGCUAGAUGGUGGGGUAACGGCCUACCAU